rnacentral:rRNA from 1 species
GUGGGGAAUAUUGGACAAUGGGGGGAACCCUGAUCCAGCCAUGCCGCGUGUGUGAAGAAGGCCUUUUGGUUGUAAAGCACUUUAAGCGAGGAGGAGGCUACCGAGAUUAAUACUCUUGGAUAGUGGACGUUACUCGCAGAAUAAGCACCGGCUAACUCUGUGCCAGCAGCCGCGGUAAUACAGAGGGUGCAAGCGUUAAUCGGAUUUACUGGGCGUAAAGCGCGCGUAGGUGGCCAAUUAAGUCAAAUGUGAAAUCCCCGAGCUUAAGGUGGGAAUUGCAUUCGAUACUGGUUGGCUAGAGUAUGGGAGAGGAUGGUAGAAUUCCAGGUGUAGCGGUGAAAUGCGUAGAGAUCUGGAGGAAUACCGAUGGCGAAGGCAGCCAUCUGGCCUAAUACUGACACUGAGGUGCGAAAGCAUGGGGAGCAAACAGGAUUAGAAACCCGAGUAGUCC